AUAAACGGAGGAUAACAGAACUAACAAAGUACACAAGCGGAAAAUACAAAUGAAGAUAUAACCAUAGAAAACGAAAGUAACAAGAAACACCGGUUCCUCCUGAAGUAACAGCUGAAGAGAACAUUUAUAAAAGCUACAGUAUAGCAGAUGCUGCAGGAAGGAACUGUUCUUACACACUGAUCAUCUUCUUCUCCAUCCUGGUAUCAUCACUCCUACAGUUCUGCUGUUAGGAAACAUUUAGAUCUUAGUACAAAUACUGUGAACUCAUGAAAGUGUUGCUCAUCUCCUUCACACCACCAAAAACCUCCACUCUUCAACUUGCAGAUGCAGACUCAGCUUUAUUGUCAUUCAACCAUGUACAUGAUAGAAUGAAAUACUGUUACCCAGGCCUCGGUGUGUGUGACAUGAAUAAAAUAAUAGACUAAGAUAAGUAUAAAAAUAGAAUAAACUAAGACACUAAAAAAGUACAAGUAAAAAGUAUUGCACAAAAAAACUGCAGUAGCUUAUAUUGUCUAAAAUUCAUAAAUGCACUGUUUACUGUGACCUCUGUAUAUAUCAUGCUUUUUAAUGUAUAGGUCUAAUAUGUAUAUGUACAGACACUCAUACAUGUGUACAGCUCCUCCGUGGCCCUUUAUUCUUCAUUAUUCUUUAUUCUUAUUCAGCUUAUUGCUUCGUACAGAAGUCUCACUUCAGCAAACACUGUGAAAUACUUAUAAAGUCCACACGCAUUUGAGUCUUUUUACAUCUCUUAAAUUAGCGUAGAUUAAUAAGCUUUCUCAAACACGUGAGCACAACCGAAUGUAAAUCAAAUAAAGAUGCUUAUGAUGUACAUCACUGUCCAUAAAAAUGCACAAUGACAGCAAAUACAACAAUAAAUGAAAUACAAUUACUGUGUGCGCCUCUUAGACCAUGUGCAGAUAAAGUUAAGCUGCGUCCGGAAUCGCAUACUUCCAUACUCAAUAGUACGCGAAAUGAGUACGCGAGAGCGGUUAGUAUGUCCGAAUACAUAGUAUACACAAAGAGGUACGCGAGAAGUACCCGGAUGACCUACUUAUUGGGCAGCCAUGUUUGAGUAUGCAAGCGAUGCACACUUUCGGUCCGCUAAUGUAUCCCAUAAUGCAACUGGAGCUGCAUAGGCGAUCGAAGCAGAAUAAGAAACAGGAAAGAUAGCGGUCCUCUGUUUACAAGUGUAAUUAAGA